GACAGAGUGAAUGUCUGUGUGACGACUUGCCCGGGGUGUCUCCUUGCCUUCUGCCCAUUGCGUGCUGGGAUAGACUGCAGCCCUCUGCAACCCUGAACUGGAUUAAGCAGUUGCACCUGGCCAAUCAUCCCGCUCUCUGAACUGUCCUGGUUGCUGCUCCACCCCCUCUGCCGAUCCGGGGAAGGCCGCAGACUACCACAAGCCUUCUCCGAUACAUGUGGUGUCACCAGCCGCUUUUCCCCCCACCUGACAGUGAGGAGUUUCACCAGGAGGACGUAGCACGUUGGAGGAUCAUGCUAUUCCCUCCAGUUCCCUCUCCCGCCCGAACAGGCACCCUGGCCGACCAGAGGAGGCGCUAGUGUGGCGACCAGGACACAUACCCACAUCCGGCUUCCCACCCGCAGACAAGGCCAAUUGUGUCUAUAGGGACGCCCCAGCAAGCCGGAGACAACAUGGGGACUCGAACCGGAGGUCCCCGUGUUAGUAGGCAACGGAAUAGACCGCUACGCUACCCAGACACA